rnacentral:lncRNA from 1 species
CAAUUUUAAAAUAUCAGGAGAUUCAACAGGCAAAGGAACAAAAUCUAUCAAUUGUGCGUGAUUCCUUAAUUUGCCGUGUUUGAAUUUCCAUUUUGAAAGUUUGUGAAGAUUAGUAAACUUAGUUAGGAUCAUUGUAUAAAGUGUACCUUACACUUAUUGUAAUUAACUUUUCUCAUUGUAUCAAUUCGAAAUAAUCAAUCUUUCUCUCAAUUAGUUUAUCAACCUAUUUUUUCUUGAUUAACAAUUUCAUGAAAUUUUUGACAAUGUUCAUGCCAUAACUUGAGGGUUAGGAUGCAUCAUAGAAACUAUUGCAUCUUACACUGGAGGUAAAACGAUUUUUUUGCAUCAAUUUCUGAUUCUAUCAAAUUGUUUCUUUGAAUUUACUUGGUUGAAGUGGUUGAAUUUGAACCUGAUAUCUUUUUUACUAUUGUGUUCAUGGAAUAUCGUGGUACAAAAGAAUCACGUGGUCGGAAGAGAAAUUAUCGAAGAAAAACUCGCAACGCAGAGAGAAAGUGCAACCAUUGUGACGAAACUGCCCCUAUGUAAAAAAUUGAAUUGACGAAACUACCCUAUGUAUGCAUAAACGUCCUCAAAUACAUGUGGGUCAAGUAUAUGUAUAUGUGUAGAAUUACUGUGUUCCAGUAACAUUUUCUACAACUUUAGACAAUUUAUUUGCAACGAAAAUUUUACUUCUCAGAUCAACUUCCUGAAAAAAAAAAUAGAAAUUAUGGGGAAAAAAAAGAUAUAAGAUAAUGCAUUAUCUUAUAUUCAGAAACUUUAAUUUUUUUUUUUUAUUUUGCUUUAUACAAAUGAUGGGCUACAUGUGUCCCAUAUGGGCUAGCCCGUAUUUUAAACUGAAUUUUAUGAUCGGGCUAAAAGUCAUAAAAAAGAAUCGGGCUAAUAUUUUAAGGUUCAAACUCUAUAUAUAUUCGGGUUUGGCAAGACAACCAAAC